rnacentral:rRNA from 1 species
GGGGAAUAUUGCACAAUGGGGGAAACCCUGAUGCAGCGACGCCGCGUGGAGGAAGAAGGUCUUCGGAUUGUAAACUCCUGUUGUUGAGGAAGAUAAUGACGGUACUCAACAAGGAAGUGACGGCUAACUACGUGCCAGCAGCCGCGGUAAAACGUAGGUCACAAGCGUUGUCCGGAAUUACUGGGUGUAAAGGGAGCGCAGGCGGGAAGACAAGUUGGAAGUGAAAUCUAUGGGCUCAACCCAUAAACUGCUUUCAAAACUGUUUUUCUUGAGUAGUGCAGAGGUAGGCGGAAUUCCCGGUGUAGCGGUGGAAUGCGUAGAUAUCGGGAGGAACACCAGUGGCGAAGGCGGCCUACUGGGCACCAACUGACGCUGAGGCUCGAAAGUGUGGGUAGCAAACAGGAUUAGAUACCCUGGUAGUCCACACCGUAAACGAUGAUUACUAGGUGUUGGAGGAUUGACCCCUUCAGUGCCGCAGUUAACACAAUAAGUAAUCCACCUGGGGAGUACGACCGCAAGGUUGAAACUCAAAGGAAUUGACGGGGGCCCGCACAAGCAGUGGAGUAUGUGGUUUAAUUCGACGCAACGCGAAGAACCUUACCAAGUCUUGACAUCCCUUGACGAACAUAGAAAUAUGCUUUCUCUUCGGAGCAAGGAGACAGGUGGUGCAUGGUUGUCGUCAGCUCGUGUCGUGAGAUGUUGGGUUAAGUCCCGCAACGAGCGCAACCCUUACUGUCAGUUACUACGCAAGAGGACUCUGGCAGGACUGCCGUUGACAAAACGGAGGAAGGUGGGGAUGACGUCAAAUCAUCAUGCCCUUUAUGACUUGGGCUACACACGUACUACAAUGGCGUUAAACAAAGAGAAGCAAGACCGCGAGGUGGAGCAAAACUCAGAAACAACGUCCCAGUUCGGACUGCAGGCUGCAACUCGCCUGCACGAAGUCGGAAUUGCUAGUAAUCGUGGAUCAGCAUGCCACGGUGAAUACGUUCCCG